rnacentral:rRNA from 1 species
ACAUGCAAGUCGAGCGGUAAGGCCCUUUCGGGGGUACACGAGCGGCGAACGGGUGAGUAACACGUGAGCAAUCUGCCCUUCACUUUGGGAUAACCACCGGAAACGGUGGCUAAUACCGAAUAUGACCAGUCUCUGCAUGGAGUGCUGGUGGAAAGUUCCGGCGGUGGAGGAUGAGCUCGCGGCCUAUCAGCUUGUUGGUGGGGUAAUGGCCUACCAAGGCGACGACGGGUAGCCGGCCUGAGAGGGUGACCGGCCACACUGGGACUGAGACACGGCCCAGACUCCUACGGGAGGCAGCAGUGGGGAAUAUUGGACAAUGGGCGAAAGCCUGAUCCAGCAACGCCGCGUGAGGGAUGACGGCCUUCGGGUUGUAAACCUCUUUCAGUAGGGACGAAGCUAACGUGACGGUACCUACAGAAGAAGCACCGGCCAACUACGUGCCAGCAGCCGCGGUAAUACGUAGGGUGCGAGCGUUGCCCGGAAUUAUUGGGCGUAAAGGGCUCGUAGGCGGUUUGUCGCGUCGGGAGUGAAAACUCGGGGCUUAACUCCGAGCCUGCUUCCGAUACGGGCAGACUAGAGGUAUGCAGGGGAGAACGGAAUUCCUGGUGUAGCGGUGAAAUGCGCAGAUAUCAGGAGGAACACCGGUGGCGAAGGCGGUUCUCUGGGCAUUACCUGACGCUGAGGAGCGAAAGUGUGGGGAGCGAACAGG